rnacentral:rRNA from 1 species
CAGCCGCCACGGGAAUACGGAGGGGGCUAGCGUUGUUCGGAAUUACUGGGCGUAAAGCGCACGUAGGCGGCUUGGUAAGUUAGAGGUGAAAGCCCGGAGCUCAACUCCGGAAUUGCCUUUAAGACUGCCGAGCUAGUAGGUGAGAGAGGUAAGUGGAAUUCCGAGUGUAGAGGUGAAAUUCGUAGAUAUUCGGAAGAACACCAGUGGCGAAGGCGGCCCGCUGGACAUGUAUUGACGCUGAGGUGCGAAAGCGUGGGGAGCAAACAGGAUUAGAUACCCCGGUAGUCCCUGUCUCUUAUAC